rnacentral:rRNA from 1 species
UUGUAAACUGCUUUUGUACGGAACGAAAGGCUCUGCCCUAAUACGGCGGAGAUAUGACGGUACCGUAAGAAUAAGCACCGGCUAACUACGUGCCAGCAGCCGCGGUAAUACGUAGGGUGCAAGCGUUAAUCGGAAUUACUGGGCGUAAAGCGUGCGCAGGCGGUUAUAUAAGUCAGAUGUGAAAUCCCCGGGCUCAACCUGGGAACUGCAUUUGAGACUGUAUAGCUGGAGUACGGCAGAGGGGGAUGGAAUUCCGCGUGUAGCAGUGAAAUGCGUAGAUAUGCGGAGGAACACCGAUGGCGAAGGCAAUCCCCUGGGCCUGUACUGACGCUCAUGCACGAAAGCGUGGGGAGCAAACAGGAUUAGAUACCCUGGUAGUCCACGCCCU